UACGUAGGUGACCAGCGUUGUCCGGAUUUACUGGGCGUAAAGAGCGCGCAGGCGGUCGUUCAAGUCGAGUGUGAAAGCCCCCGGCUCAACUGGGGAGGGUCACUCGAUACUGAUCGACUUGAAGGCAGGAGAGGGAAGCGGAAUUCCCGGUGUAGUGGUGAAAUGCGUAGAUAUCGGGAGGAACACCAGUGGCGAAGGCGACUACCUGGCCUGUUCUUGACGCUGAGGCGCGAAAGCUGGGGGAGCAAACGGG
rnacentral:rRNA from 1 species